rnacentral:tRNA from 1 species
CCUGGUGGCUCAGAUGGUAAAGCAUCUGCUUGCAAUGCAGGAGACCCAGGUUCAAUCCCUGGGUCAGGA